GCCAAGUUUUUUGACGAAACAGAAAAUAAAACACAAACUUCAGUCUAGACACCCUAAGGAUCAUUCAGCUUAAGUUUGGUUGGAAUUGGUUCAAUGGUUUCAGAAAAAGAAGAUUUUUUAAAGUUAGAAAACAUGAUAAACAAAUUGUGUAAAAUUGUCCUUAAAGGGCAAUAACUCUUUAAGGGGUCAAUUAACAAUUUUGGUCGUAUAAACUUGUUUGUAGAUCUUUCUUUGCUGAACAUAUUUGCUGUUUACACUUUAUCUUUAUCAUUAAUA
rnacentral:lncRNA from 1 species